UUCUUCAUUUCAUUUUCAUCAUGUACAGGUUCUUAACCCGUCUAAAGAAUUGAAAUUAUAAUGAAACUGGAUAACUUAGUUCAUAUUCCAUUUUAGUUUUUCUACUUUUGCAAAGCUAUAUCAUCAUAUUCUGGAAUCGAUCUAUUUAACUUUGAAUUGUUAUGUUCCCUUGAAAACUUUAUUACAAUUGGUAAAUAUGGUUUAACAUGCAGAUAUUUCAUUGUGAUAUCUAGCUUUAUGGUAUAUUUAUCAGUAUGAUUUUAAAAAAUGAGAAUAUAUUUGUUUGAAAAUGAAAAUGGCCAAAUGCUAAUAUUUUCAUAAUACUGACAGUAGAAAUCAUGCCUCAAAUUCGAGUAAUACAUUUGACCUAUUCAAGGUGUGAAAAUGUGGACUUUUGUCUCUAGGAUAGUACUACAAUUUGUAAAGGUUAUUCAGUGUAGCAUAAAAAAAUAGCUUUGUAAUGAAUUCACUACUUUGAAAUAUGUUUUUUUUCUAUUCAUACUUUUGUGUUCAAUAUUGAUGUUUAUUUGGCUACUGCCAAGAAAAUAUUUUCCUGUAGGAUUCUUGAAAUAUUUCAUUAUCAUUUAUUAGUAUAAAGAAUGAUAUAUUGAGUUUGUGACAUUUCAAUAGCUCUAAAGCCAUCCUAACAAUCUUUGAAAACUACUUUUUUUUUAAAAGAGAUAUCUAGAAGAAAAUUAAAGCAAAAAUUGGGACUCCAAAGAAUUGCUACUGCAAUAGAGAGUGAUUGGUAGAAAGUUGACAAUGAAUAGUAUGGAACUAAUGAAAUCUGAAGAAAUAUUUGUUAUCUAUUUAUUUUUGUCAAUGCUUUUAAACUCAACUUCUUGUGAAAUAGGCCUUGAAGAAAAAAAAAGGAUUUUGACAAAUUUAUAAUAUACAUGAAUCUUUGUUCUAUUAGAACUGACUAUGUCAACUUUCAAACGCUUUGUAAUUUUCUUAAACAAGGCAUUAGCAUAUUGUGUCUCGCCCACUUGUGAAAAUAACUAGAAAAUAUUGCAAUCUCCUUCGUCACGCAACAGAAUUGUAUCGUAUCCUGGUAUAGAAUGUAAUAACAAAUAAAAUUUGGGCCAUUCUUGGUCAGGUGUGUGACUGAAAUUAUGGACAAAUCAUGACUUCAAUUAGUUGUAAAUCUAAAAAAAUUAGGGAUUUAGUAAAUUAAAGGGUGUAUGACAUUAACAUCUGUAGUCAGCUAUCAUUUGGAAAUAUUUUUUACUGUCUCCAAUAUGCAGAUUUCUAAUUAACUAAAAGUCAAGAUUUGUCAUUAUUUCGGUCACACACGUGACCAAGAAUGGCCAAUUUGAAAUGGGCUAUUUCAUGAAAUGCCUUUCCCUUUCACCUUCCCCUGGGAUAUGAAUAACAUGUGUGAAGGUUUAUGUGAUUUCACGGUGACACCACAAGUGCUCCUGUGACAUAUGCUCCGGUCUUAUCUAGGACGGUAUAGGGUUAGAGCUAAGAUUGUAAUAGAGUUUUUGGUUCAGAAUAAUGUAAAGAUUAAGAUAAGGGUUUAUUUACUUUUGGAGGCGAGGUCUCCUGUUUUGCUUAACGUGCAGAUCUUACAUCAGAGCAAUUGUCGCCGAAGCGAAUGUCAUGUAACCGAUUUCACUUUUACAAUUUCACUUUUAGUGAAUCUCAGAAACCAUAUUUCAAAUUUCAUAUUGUAAGUAUUCACUCUAUAUGUCACACGAUUGAUUCCAGUAGUAGUAUACAGUAUGUCACAUUUUAUUUCAACACUAAAGUAAAUACAGUAAAUAUAUGAUUUGUAUAUAUUUGAUCUUCAUAUUUACAAGUUCAUAAACUAUGAUUGCAUCAAUACUAUUGUAAUAAAACAGAUUUCUAAGAAAUAUCAUCAACUAGUUUUUCAAUGUUUUUAUAUGGACUCGUGUUUCACAUUGAUAUACAAAAAUGAAUGAAUGAAAGUAAUGAAUUGAUCUGCUGCUGAUGCAAAAACAAAACCUUCUGGUUUUUAAGAGGUAAAUGCUUUGCGAGGAAGAAAAACUUCCCAUGGCACUGCAUCCAAUGAGAAUAUCUCCUCUUUGGCGUGGUGUAGGGGCUUCCUUUGUUCAGUAUGGUAUUUCAUUCAAUUUAAUUCAAUUCUGGUUUUGUUGUGACAAUGAUUAAAUAACAUAAGUCUUGCAUCAUGUUAACAAAGUAAAAAAAACAUACAUGUAUAUCAUUAUGACCUGUUUUAAAUGCAAUACAAUGAAUAGAAAUGACAGUGCUAGACUGUUAUUACACAUGACUGGUAUAUUCAGUUGCACAAUAUGAUACAUCUACUGGGGCCCAAAAGCAUAAAAGUUUCUGUUUAUUGGUAACUUUUUCAUCUGAAAGUAACAUCCAUGGUAACAAAGGCAAUCAAAUGCAAGGAUUCUGUCUUGCAUUGAAUCUUAUGUCACAGUUACUUAUAAUGCAAGAGGACCAUAUGAAUGCAUAAAUGGUUGUUCAGAAAUGGCACAACAAAUUACAUAAUCUUCAUGUAAUUCACUCUCAGAAAAAUGUCACAACUCGAUGUCCCUAACAUCUUUCGACAUGUUACCUCGCAAUCUGGCAUGAUUUCUGUAAGUUUUUUUUUUUAUUUCAGUAGUAACAUGAAUGGUUGGCCAUUGCACCCCAGAUGUUCUUGGUGGCCAGUGAUACUUAAGAAUGAAAUAUAAAACAAGUAACAUUUAAUACAAAUAACAUUACUUAGCAUCCAUUGCAAUUGGUUCUUGGAGUUGCUGGUCACUGAAAGUGGAUCCCUGUUCCUUCUUGAGUGGGUGUGGGCCAAAAGAUGGCCAUAUUGUGAUUUGAAUGAAUUGCAACAUUUUCUUGAGAAGAACAACCCAUAUUGAUAUAUGCAGAUAAAAAGACCAUUGCCAGGUCAAAAGCACUGGACCAAUCAAAUUCUUCAGAUA